rnacentral:rRNA from 1 species
AGAGUUUGAUCCUGGCUCAGGAUGAACGCUAGCGGUAGGCUUAACACAUGCAAGUCGAGGGGCAGCACAGGUAGCAAUACUAGGUGGCGACCGGCGCACGGGUGAGUAACGCGUAUGCAACCUACCUAUAACUGGAGAAUAGCCCCCGGAAACGGGGAUUAAUGUUCCAUACUGUUCAGAGACUGCAUAGUUUUUGGACAAAAGCUCAGGCGGUUAUAGAUGGGCAUGCGUGCCAUUAGCUUGUUGGUGAGGUAACGGCUCACCAAGGCUACGAUGGUUAGGGGGUCUUAAAGGAUGAUCCCCCACACUGGUACUGAGACACGGACCAGACUCCUACGGGAGGCAGCAGUGAGGAAUAUUGGUCAAUGGGCGCAAGCCUGAACCAGCCAAGCCGCGUGAAGGAUGACGGCCCUAUGGGUUGUAAACUUCUUUUUUACGGGAAGAACCCUCCGACGUGUCGGAGACUGACAGUACCGUACGAAUAAGCAUCGGCUAACUCCGUGCCAGCAGCCGCGGUAAUACGGAGGAUGCAAGCGUUAUCCGGAUUCAUUAGGUAUAAAGGGUGCGUAGGCGGAUUUGUAAGUCAGUGGUGAAAUACUGCCGCUUAACGGUAGAGCUGCCAUUGAUACUGCGUUUCUUGAGUAUGGUUGAGGUAGGUGGAAUGUGUUGUGUAGCGGUGAAAUGCAUAGAUAUGACACAGAACGCCGAUUGCGAAGGCAACUUACUAAGCCAUUACUGACGCUGAGGCACGAAAGCGUGGGUAGCGAACAGGAUUAGAUACCCUGGUAGUCC